UACGUAGGUGACAAGCGUUGUCCGGAUUUACUGGGCGUAAAGAGCGCGCAGGCGGUCGUUCAAGUCGAGUGUGAAAGCCCCCGGCUCAACUGGGGAGGGUCACUCGAUACUGAUCGACUCGAAGGCAGGAGAGGGAAGUGGAAUUCCCGGUGCAGUGGUGAAAUGCGUAGAUAUCGGGAGGAACACCAGUGGCGAAGGCGGGUCUCUGGACAGUUCCUGACGCUGAGGCACGAAGGCCAGGGGAGCAAACGGG
rnacentral:rRNA from 1 species